GAUUAACGCUGGCGGCGUGCCUAACACAUGCAAGUCGAGCGGCAGCGAGUUUUACACUGAAUUCUGGAAGCUUCUAGUUGAAAGAGAAGAUUUAUUCAAGAAUUUUGUGUAAAAUGUCGGCGAGCGGCGGACGGCUGAGUAACGCGUGGGAACGUACCCCAAAGUGAGGGAUAACGCAUCGAAAGGUGUGCUAAUACCGCAUAUGGUCUUCGGAUUAAAGCCUUCGGGCGCUUUGGGAACGGCCUGCGUAAGAUUAGAUAGUUGGUGGGGUAAUGGCCUACCAAGUCGACGAUCUUUAACUGGUUUGAGAGGAUGAUCAGUCAGACUGGAACUGAGACACGGUCCAGACUCCUACGGGAGGCAGCAGUGAGGAAUCUUCCACAAUGGGCGAAAGCCUGAUGGAGCAACGCCGCGUGCAGGAUGAAGGCCUUCGGGUUGUAAACUGCUUUUAUAAGUGAGGAUUAUGACAGUAACUUAUGAAUAAGGAUCGGCUAACUACGUGCCAGCAGCCGCGGUCAUACGUAGGAUCCGAGCGUUAUCCGGAGUGACUGGGCGUAAAGAGUUGCGUAGGUGGUUUAAUAAGCGAAUAGUGAAAGCUGGUGGCUCAACCAUUCAGAUUAUUAUUCGAACUGUUGAACUCGAGAGCAGAAGAGGUAGCUGGAAUUUCUAGUGUAGGAGUGAAAUCCGUAGAUAUUAGAAGGAACACCGAUGGCGUAGGCAGGCUACUGGGCUGUUUCUGACACUGAGGCACGAAAGCGUGGGGAGCGAACCGGAUUAGAUACCCGGGUAGUCCACGCCGUAAACGAUGGAUACUAGCUGUUUGGGGUAUCGACCCCCUGAGUAGCGAAGCUAACGCGUUAAGUAUCCCGCCUGUGGAGUACGACCGCAAGAUUAAAACAUAAAGGAAUUGACGGGGACCCGCACAAGCGGUGGAUCAUGUUCUUUAAUUCGAUGAUAACCGAUAAACCUUACCAGGUCUUGACAUCCUUGGAAUCUUUCAGAAAUGAGAGAGUGCUUUUUAAGAGCCAAGUGACAGGUGAUGCAUGGCCGUCGUCAGCUCGUGUCGUGAGAUGUUUGGUUAAGUCCAUCAACGAGCGCAACCCUUGUCAGUAGUUGUAUUUUUCUACUGAGACUGCCCCGGUAACGGGGAGGAAGGAGGGGAUGACGUCAGGUCAGUAUUUCCCUUACGUCCUGGGCUAGAAACGUGAUACAAUGGCUAGUACAAUGCGCAGCGAAGCCGCGAGGUGAAGCAAAUCGCAUCAAAGCUAGUCCCAGUUCGGAUUGUAGGCUGAAACUCGCCUGCAUGAAGUCGGAAUCGCUAGUAAUCGCAGAUCAGCAUGCUGCGGUGAAUACGUUCCCGGGUCU
rnacentral:rRNA from 1 species